UGCUACCAUGACUAUGCUGCAGGAGGUCAUCCACUCAGUGGAGGACCUUACAGUCCCCGAGAGUUCUGGAGGUGUGCUGCCUACAACAGCUGAAGUUACAUCGACUGUGAGCGCGACUGGUGCUGAUGCUCUGGCAUUGAUUAUUGCGACAGGAGUAAGCGAAGCCGGUGCAACAGGUAUGUUAUUGGAGUAGAGAUGCUAUUGAGGGGGAGCUCCCUUAUACCCAGUAGCUAACCUUUGGUUUUUUUUCUUGUCAGGGUCUUUGUUAUGAGUAAAGUGCCGGAGCCUCAAGUCGUCAAGAGCACUAUGGGUCCAAUACUCGAGCUGCCAUCGGAGUCGGA
rnacentral:lncRNA from 1 species